CCUACGGGAGGCAGCAGUGAGGAAUAUUGCGCAAUGCCCGAAAGGGUGACGCAGCGACGCCGCGUGGAGGAUGAAGGCCCUCUGGGUCGUAAACUCCUUUGGUAGGGGAAUAACAGGUCGCUACAGGCGGCCGUGAAUGUACCCUAAGAACAAGCAUCGGCUAACUACGUGCCAGCAGCCGCGGUAAU
rnacentral:rRNA from 1 species